GUUCCGCAGAAAGUUACAAAGUGAAAUUCAGCCCCCUCCGGAGACACCGGCGAAAUGUCAUUUUUCAGGCAGGAGCUGGGGGGGAGGCUAGCCCUAAAGGCGCUGGUUACUGGCCAAGGUAGGGGGGCAGUAAAUUAACUUAAAAGUCUGAGCCCAGUAACGGACUCGGUGGAAUUUCUGCGAGAAGAGGAGGGGGAGGCGCGAGCGAGAUCAUUGAAUAUUAAGCACGACCCCGCGCGGCGGCCGCGGCCAAACCGUCUCCGUGCAAUACCCAUUUUCUUUAUGAAAAGUUCAAGGUGUCACUGAUGAGCUCAACAAACUGUUGAUCUUGACCACGUGGAGUGGCGGACCGUGGGACCGAAGGGCGCGCUUGCAGGCCCGGCUCUGGCGGUACCCGGGCCCCGGGACCCUUUGCGUGGGACUGUGCGCGGGUGGGGCCACCACGCACCCUGGGCGCUGCCUGCGCCUUGGCCCGGCUUCAGGCUCAGGAAAAUAAUAAUAACGAUUUUAAAACUAUGUUGAGCGAGACACAUUUUACUCCCGGAAUGAUAAUGAGAAGGCUCGGCGUAGGGAGGGGAAGAAGGAGCCCCCCACUUAUAUAACGACUUGAAGUUAUAUCACUUUUGCUUGGGGAGAUUCCGGGAUUUCCGCCCGCGCCAGGUCUGAGGCUGGUUAAAGAUCUUCAAACUUUUUUCCCUUAAGAGCCAAUAAACAAACAGACGCCCCAGGGGCCGACUUAAACUCUGGUAGAGCCCGAGUUCGCUGGAAUUCUCAGAUUCGAAGAAAUGCACACGCCUGCGGUGCUCGCAGAGAAGUCCCUCGGAAGCUAGGCGGGUCGCUUUCGCAACUGGGACUCCAAUGUUCCCAGUGGGAGCGGAGCUCUCACCGCGGCAGCCCCCAGGUUCCCCUAGGCGCCUUAGAGCAAAGGUGGCGGGGGAUCGCGCUGCCCUUCGCCCGCCGGCUCGGAACCAUGAACUUGUAUUCCGGGCGCCGCGCUCCUGCCACAGUGCUCGGCUAAAGAGCUCUAAGGAAUUCGGGAUCUGGGUACACUUCGGGAUCUCAGGCGGCAACCUGUCUGCGCCGCGCAUUCCUGCCCAGAUGUACCUUGUUUCCCCCUGGGCUGGCCUGUGGACUCUUGGGCAGCUCCCGGGCGGGGACGAGGGGAUGCGGUCUGGGGGCUAGUUUAGAAGCUUCGAGCGCAGCGAGAAAACAAAGGGAGCCUGGGGCUGGGAGGCUCUGCGGAGUCCCCGCCCGCCCUGCAGAUUAGCAGGCGCGUCGCGUCGGGGCUUCCCGGGCAGCUCUGCUCUGGGGAAUUAGAACGAACUCUAGCGGCCGUUUGCAACUCGGCUGUGGGCGCGAGGGCAUCAACAGGUGGCCGUGUGCAGCGGAGAGGCCAAUGGCGAGGACCCGGACUGGGGUGAGGACGGCUGGCCUUGGGGCUGACUGGGUGGCGGAUGCGCUGGGUGACCUUUUGGCUUUUUCAUUUCCGAGGCCGGGGAGAAGGAAGUAGCUAAAAGGUUUUUGUAAGUUCUGCCCUAGGGCUCUAAUUUCUGACAUACCCCUUGACUCCCCAGAAAUCCUUUGCAACAAAAAUUAAAACAGCUCAUAUGCAAAACUUUCUUAAUGGCCUGCACCUGUUUGUUCGGUUAUUGCUGAUGUAGGGUCUGUUUGUUUGCAUUUUAACCGCCCAUAAAACAAGAUUCUAUCCUGGGAAGGAGUCUCUUGCGUGAUGCUCGCGGACCUGAAAGGCGACCUGGAGGGGCUCUUACAGGAUUCUGUUAACUUCUUGAUGACUGUAAUCCAGCUUGGGCCACAUCUUUCUCAGCCUCAUUUGGUACCGGCUAAGAACCUAAUUUACUUGCCAUCAACAUCAGAAUUUACCGCUGCCUGAUCUCCUCCCAACCUCUGCCUCACCCAGGGUGAACCAAAA
rnacentral:lncRNA from 1 species